UCCUCGAUAGCUCAACGGUAGAGCAUCCGGCUGUUAACCGGAGGGUUGCUGGUUCGAAUCCAGCUCGGGGAGCCA
rnacentral:tRNA from 11 species